GAAAUAUUUAUUGGGAGAGAGAAAGCUUCUGCCUAAGAGAGACAGAAGGGGGACCAGAAAGAGGGUUGCCUGUGCACUCCACUUUUCAAAGAUGUUUUAUACGGCAAAGCCAUGUGGUGAGGUAUUUGACUUUUAAAAAUAAAUUUGCAGGUUUAUUAUAAUCGACCUCGGACUUGGGCAGAUGAAGUAGCUGGCAUGAAUGCGGAGAGCUGGGCAAAAGAGAACUGUGCUGUCUCAUACUAGCAGUGAUAUAGUCCACUCUGGAAGUGAUCCCUGUACAGCCCCUCAACCCACUGGGCUGAAGUAC
ensembl:lncRNA